rnacentral:rRNA from 1 species
AUUGAACGCUGGCGGCAGGCCUAACACAUGCAAGUCGAACGAGUGGCGGACGGGUGAGUAAUGUCUGGGAAACUGCCUGAUGGAUGGGGAUAACUACUGGAAACGGUAGCUAAUACCGCAUACCAUCAGAUGUGCCCCGAGGGGAUUAGCUAGUAGGUGGGGUAACGGCUCACCUAGGCGACGAUCCCUAGCUGGUCUGAGAGGAUGACCAGCCACACUGGAAAGGAGACACGGUCCAGACUCCUACGGGAGGCAGAAGUGGGGAAUAUUGCACAAUGGGCGCAAGCCUGAUGCAGCCAUGCCGCGUGUAUGAAGAAGGCCUUCGGGUUGUAAAGUACUUUCAGCGGGGAGGCGUUACCCGCAGAAGAAGCACCGGCUAACUCCGUGCCAGCAGCCGCGGUAAUAC